rnacentral:rRNA from 1 species
UCUACGGGGUGCAGCAGUGGGGAAUAUUGGACAAUGGGCGAAAGCCUGAUCCAGCCAUGCCGCGUGUGUGAAGAAGGCCUUCGGGUUGUAAAGCACUUUCAGUGGGGAAGAAAGCCUUGGGGCUAAUACCCUCGAGGAAGGACAUCACCCACAGAAGAAGCACCGGCUAACUCCGUGCCAGCAGCCGCGGUAAUACGGAGGGUGCGAGCGUUAAUCGGAAUUACUGGGCGUAAAGCGCGCGUAGGCGGUCUGAUAAGCCGGUUGUGAAAGCCCCGGGCUCAACCUGGGAACGGCAUCCGGAACUGUCAGGCUAGAGUGCAGGAGAGGAAGGUAGAAUUCCCGGUGUAGCGGUGAAAUGCGUAGAGAUCGGGAGGAAUACCAGUGGCGAAGGCGGCCUUCUGGACUGACACUGACGCUGAGGUGCGAAAGCGUGGGUAGCAAACAGGAUUAGAUACCCGAGUAGUC